UACGAAGGGGGCUAGCGUUGCUCGGAAUCACUGGGCGUAAAGCGCACGUAGGCGGGUCUUUAAGUCAGGGGUGAAAUCCCGGAGCUCAACUCCGGAACUGCCUUUGAUACUGAGGAUCUUGAGUUCGAGAGGAGGUGAGUGGAACUGCGAGUGUAGAGGUGAAAUUCGUAGAUAUUCGCAAGAACACCAGUGGCGAAGGCGGCUCACUGGCUCGAUACUGACGCUGAGGUGCGAAAGCGUGGGGAGCAAACAGG
rnacentral:rRNA from 1 species